rnacentral:rRNA from 1 species
GACGUAGGAGGCGAGCGUUGUCCGGAUUCAUUGGGCGUAAAGAGCACGCAGGCGGUUUGGCAAGUCGGAUGUGAAAACCCGGAGCUCAACUCCGGACCUGCAUCCGAAACUGCCCGACUAGAGGUAGGUAGGGGAGAUCGGAAUUCCUGGUGUAGCGGUGAAAUGCGCAGAUAUCAGGAGGAACACCGGUGGCGAAGGCGGAUCUCUGGGCCUUACCUGACGCUCAGGUGCGAAAGCUAGGGGGAGCGAACAGG